ACACUCCUGCGGGAGGCAGCAGUGGGGAAUUUUGGACAAUGGGCGCAAGCCUGAUCCAGCCAUGCCGCGUGCGGGAAGAAGGCCUUCGGGUUGUAAACCGCUUUUGUCAGGGAAGAAAAGGUUCUGGCUAAUACCUGGGACUCAUGACGGUACCUGAAGAAUAAGCACCGGCUAACUACGUGCCAGCAGCCGCGGUAAUACGUAGGGUGCAAGCGUUAAUCGGAAUUACUGGGCGUAAAGCGUGCGCAGGCGGUUAUGCAAGACAGAGGUGAAAUCCCCGGGCUCAACCUGGGAACUGCCUUUGUGACUGCAUGGCUAGAGUACGGUAGAGGGGGAUGGAAUUCCGCGUGUAGCAGUGAAAUGCGUAGAUAUGCGGAGGAACACCGAUGGCGAAGGCAAUCCCCUGGACCUGUACUGACGCUCAUGCACGAAAGCGUGGGGAGCAAACAGGAUUAGAUACCCGGGUAGUCCC
rnacentral:rRNA from 1 species